CCUUUACCUAAGCGAGAACAGCCGGAAUCCCAGGAAUGCCAUUUCAGAUCGUUCCCAGAUGGCACUGAGCAAGUCGUAAUGGGCUGCAGGAGUCGAGGGUCGUCUCAGGGACGAAACUCCGCACGAAUUGGUGUUGUAUCACACGUGAGAAUGGCUUUAUUUAUCCACUGGCAACUGGCUUAGAGAAAAAGAAUUUCAAAGAGUUAUUCAAGAAAAUCCAGAUCUUCAUUUUCAGAUAUGACCUGCAAAAUAUGUUUCAAGAGCCCAAGCAAACAGGAUGAUGGCUGUUGUGGUUGUCUGAGUCCCCUGAGAACUUUUGACUGCCUGCAUCUGCGCAGAAAUUUUUAAGUUUCUUCUGCUGCUUAGAUGUGUUUGCUCCUGCUUGAAAAAAAGGUCAUAAUAAACUUAAUCUUUCCUACUUAACUCUAUUUAAGAAAUUACAUGAAGGGACAGUCUUUUAUGAAAGUACCUACUAGCAAUGUAGGUCUC